ACGCGGGGUGGAGCAGCUUGGUAGCUCGUCGGGCUCAUAACCCGAAGGUCGUCGGUUCAAAUCCGGCCCCCGCAACC
rnacentral:tRNA from 1 species